ACGAAGGGUGCUAGCGUUGUUCGGAAUUACUGGGCGUAAAGGGUACGUAGGCGGCUUGGCAAGUUGGUUGUGAAAGCCCAAGGCUCAACCUUGGAACUGCAACCAAAACUGCUUCGCUUGAGUUUGGUGGGGGAUAGUGGAAUUCCUAGUGUAGGGGUGAAAUCCGUAGAUAUUAGGAGGAACACCAGUGGCGAAGGCGACUAUCUACACCAAUACUGACGCUAAGGUACGAAAGCGUGGGGAGCAAACAGG
rnacentral:rRNA from 1 species